UCCUUCGGUGGGCAGCAGUAGGGAAUAUUGCACAAUGGGGGAAACCCUGAUGCAGCAACGCCGCGUGAGUGAAGAAGGCCCUUGGGUCGUAAAGCUCUUUAGCGAGGGAAGAGGGUGGAUACGGUGAAUAAUCGUGUUCGCUGACGGUACCUCGAGAAUAAGCACCGGCUAAUUUCGUGCCAGCAGCCGCGGUAAUACGAAAGGUGCAAGCGUUACUCGGAAUCACUGGGCGUAAAGCGCACGUAGGCGGACUCGCAGGUCAAUUGUGAAAUACCUGAGCUCAACUCGGGAACUGCAGUUGAAACCGCUUGUCUUGAAUACCUGAGAGGGUGGGGGAAUACCUGGUGGAGAAGUGAAAUUCGUAGAGAUCAGGUGGAACACCGGAGGCGAAGGCGCCUGCCUGGCAGUGUAUUGACGCUGAGGUGCGAAAGUGCGGGGAGCAAACAGGAUUAGAUACCCCGGUAGUCGG
rnacentral:rRNA from 1 species